UACGGAGGGUGCAAGCGUUAUCCGGAUUUACUGGGUUUAAAGGGUGCGUAGGUGGGCAGGUAAGUCAGUGGUGAAAUCCCCGAGCUUAACUCGGGAACUGCCAUUGAUACUAUCUGUCUUGAAUAUCCUGGAGGUAAGCGGAAUAUGUCAUGUAGCGGUGAAAUGCUUAGAUAUGACAUAGAACACCCAUUGCGAAGGCAGCUUACUACGGGAUUAUUGACACUGAGGCACGAAAGCGUGGGGAUCAAACAGG
rnacentral:rRNA from 1 species